GGUAGUGUAGCUCAGUUGGUUAGAGCAAGGGAUGUGUUUAAGUUAUGAUAAUGGGGAGGCGGUGAAACCGCUGAUGAUCUUAGUAACUGGCAUGAGUACCUAUUGGUCGAGGGUUCGAGCCCCUCCAUUACCG
rnacentral:tRNA from 1 species